UGCGUAGGCGGAAUGAUAAGUUAGUGGUGAAAGCCCCUGGCUCAACCGGGGAACUGCCAUUAAUACUGUCAUUCUUGAGUAUAGUUGAAGUGGGCGGAAUGUAUCAUGUAGCGGUGAAAUGCUUAGAUAUGAUACAGAACACCGAUAGCGUAGGCAGCUUGCUAAACUAUAACUGACGCUCAGGCACGAAAGCGUGGGGAGCAAACAGGAUUAGAUACCCUGGUAGUCC
rnacentral:rRNA from 1 species